rnacentral:sRNA from 1 species
UUAAUUAGGCGAUAGAUUCUGAUUGAUAGGGAAAAAAAAGUGAAUGAAUAUUCUAUAU